CAUAAGUCAUUUGGUCAAGCAUUUUGUUUUAUUUGGAGAUGUACAAGCUCACACCGAAAACCACAAAACAUUUUUCCGUGCAUAAACGCCCAAAAUGUGCCCCACUGCGAAACGUCAUGCAAGCAACUCAGCGAAAACAAUCUGUCACUUGCAACUCGGAGAAAGCAAGCGAUCGCGCUUCCGGUGAGCCACAUACACACCCACACGGCUAAGACGCUCGACAUUCAGACCGGCAAGUAGCAAGGAGCAAGGUGGACGUCGUGUGCGAGCUGAUUGACCGCUGGAGCAGCAUACAGGACCAGCCAAAUCGUGAAAAUCUGCACUGGAAACACGUACCGGGAGUGGACUGCUGCACGACGAUUCACCGCAAGCUUCCCACGUGCAAAAUCCUCUCCGUUCGGUAGAAUCCACCGUCGCGGGUUUUCCGACCUACGUAGUCGAGCGGGAAUCACGGAAGGCCGUGCGUUGCAUCAUCCGGAAGAAGAUUCACGCUAAGUGGUUCGGAAACCGCGGGAGAUUCGUGCUGAAUAGCGACCAACGUAAAAACAUCAUCAGUCCAUCGACGAGAUUCGCACCGGAUCAGAACAGCGAACACCCGUAGAUCGCCAGCACACUUGACCGGCAGCAGUGCUAAUCUGGCCUACGUUGAUACUUAUUCCGUACGGGAAACCCGACAGAACGCCCGGAACGACGCUGAGCAUCACGACACAGCAAAGAAGCCUCCCAAGAAGAAGGCUUUUUGUGUUUGCUUUCAGCUCGUCCACAUCGGCUGUACGGAAAGAGCGGGACCGAUCAUCGGCGCCGCAUGGGCGUCUGAACGACAGGGCUGUGCGCGGGAUCCGGACAAGCUGCGAUUCGGAGGAGGGAUCCAUACGUAACUGUUAGGGAGAACUCGGUUCAAGCGCAGUCGUGUCGACGCUGGUAACCUUCCAAUUGAGGCGUUGGUUCAGGUGGCAAUAAGGAACGAUCAGUCGUCGUGUGGGUGGCAGCGAGGCGGCGUGGAAGUUGCCGCUACGAAGGAGACAGCCAGUCGGCCGGUAUAGGCGUCAACGGUGAGCUGAAACCGAUUUGUGCUUGAAUCGGACGGAAGAAGCUGGGAGAGAGGAUUCCGGCAUGAACAGGGUGCACCCUCCAGAAGAACCGUGAGUACGGCGAAGAAAAUUGCGCAAGAAUGCGAAAGAUCUAGAUAGCGAUAGGGCAGUAGCUAGUUAGAGUAGAAAUGGGCCUGUGGCCAAUGAUACGGUGAAUAAAGCUUGUACACAAUGAACAUCCUCUUUAGUGGCGUUUAGGUUGUUAGCCGGUCCGACCAAUG